rnacentral:rRNA from 1 species
CGAACGGGUGAGUAACGCGUGAGGAACCUGCCUCAAAGAGGGGGACAACAGUUGGAAACGACUGCUAAUACCGCAUAAGCCCACGGGUCGGCAUCGACCAGAGGGAAAAGGAGCAAUCCGCUUUGAGAUGGCCUCGCGUCCGAUUAACUAGUUGGUGAGGUAACGGCCCACCAAGGCAACGAUCGGUAGCCGGACUGAGAGGUUGAACGGCCACAUUGGGACUGAGACACGGCCCAG